AACGAACGCUGGCGGCAUGCCUAACACAUGCAAGUUGAACGAUUGCCUUCGGGUGAUAGUGGCGCACGGGUGCGUAACGCGUGGGAAUCUACCCUUGGGUUCGGAAUAACAGUUAGAAAUGACUGCUAAUACCGGAUGAUGACGUAAGUCCAAAGAUUUAUCGCCCAAGGGUGAGCCCGCGUAAGAUUAGCUUGUUGGUGGGGUAAUGGCCUACCAAGGCGACGAUCUUUAGCUGGUCUGAGAGGAUGAUCAGCCACACUGGGACUGAGACACGGCCCAGACUCCUACGGGAGGCAGCAGUGGGGAAUAUUGGACAAUGGGCGAAAGCCUGAUCCAGCAAUGCCGCGUGAGUGAUGAAGGCCUUAGGGUUGUAAAGCUCUUUUACCAGGGAUGAUAAUGACAGUACCUGGAGAAUAAGCUCCGGCUAACUCCGUGCCAGCCGCCGCCGUAAGAC
rnacentral:rRNA from 1 species